GACGAACGCUGUCGGCGUGCUUAACACAUGCAAGUCGAACGGAAAGGCCCUGCUUUUGUGGGGUGCUCGAGUGGCGAACGGGUGAGUAACACGUGAGUAACCUGCCCUUGACUUUGGGAUAACUUCAGGAAACUGGGGCUAAUACCGGAUAGGAGCUCCUGCUGCAUGGUGGGGGUUGGAAAGUUUCGGCGGUUGGGGAUGGACUCGCGGCUUAUCAGCUUGUUGGUGGGGUAGUGGCUUACCAAGGCUUUGACGGGUAGCCGGCCUGAGAGGGUGACCGGCCACAUUGGGACUGAGAUACGGCCCAGACUCCUACGGGAGGCAGCAGUGGGGAAUAUUGCACAAUGGGCGGAAGCCUGAUGCAGCAACGCCGCGUGCGGGAUGACGGCCUUCGGGUUGUAAACCGCUUUCGCCUGUGACGAAGUGUGAGUGACGGUAAUGGGUAAAGAAGCACCGGCUAACUACGUG
rnacentral:rRNA from 1 species